GUUUGAUCCUGGCUCAGGGUGAACGCUGGCGGCGUGGAUAAGGCAUGCAAGUCAAACGGCUCUUCGGAGCAGUGGCGAACGAGGUAGUAACACGUAGGUACGCACCCCACAGUCAGGAAUAAUCCAUCGAAAGGUGGAAUAAUACCUGAUAGUCCCUUCGGGGUAAAGAUUUAUCGCUGUGGGAGCGGCCUGCGGAGUAUCAGCUUGUUGGUAAGGUAAUGGCUUACCAAGGCUAUGACGCUUAGGGGAGGUGAGAGCCUGACCCCCACCGAUGGUACUGAGACACGGACCAUACUCCUACGGGAGGCCGCAGUCGAGAAUCUUCCGCAAUGGGCGAAAGCCUGACGGAGCGACGCCGCGUGGUUGAUGAAGCACUUCGGUGCGUAAAGACCUUUUCUGAGGGAGGAAGUUUAUUGACGUUACCUCAGGAAUAAGGGGCCUCCAAACUCGUGCCAGCAGAGGCGGUAAUACGAGUGCCCCAAGCGUUACCCGGAAUCACUGGGCGUAAAGGGUGUGUAGGCGGUUAUGUUAGUCGUUUGUUAAAGCCUUGGGGUCAACCCAAGAAUCGCAAGCGAAACGGCAUAACUAGAGGAUGCGAGGGGUCUAGGGAACUCAUGGUGUAGGGGUGAAAUCCGUUGAUAUCAUGGGGAACACCAAAAGCGAAGGCACUAGACUGGCGCACUCCUGACGCUGAGACACGAAAGCGUGAGUAGCGAAUGGGAUUAGAUACCCCAGUAGUCCACGCCCUAAACGCUGUCCGCUGGCUCUACGGAGUAUCGACCCUCUGUGGGGCGAAGCUAACGCGUUAAGCGGACCGCCUGGGUAGUACGAGCGCAAGCUUAAAACUCAAAGGAAUAGACGGGGGCUCGCACAAGCGGUGGAUCAUGUGGCUUAAUUCGACGCUAAACGAAGAACCUUACCAGGGCUUGAAACCGAAACGACGAGUGUUCGAAAGAAUGCUUUCCUUCGGGCGUUUCGGCAGGUGAUGCAUGGCCGUCGUCAGUUCGUGAUUUGAAUUGUUCCCUUAAGUGGGGUAACGAACGCAACCCUUAUUGCCUGUUACAUGUGUCAGGCGAGACUGCUCCCUCACGGGAGAGGAAGGCAGGGAUGACGCCAGGUCCGCAUGUCCCUUUGAUGCCCUGGGCUGCACACGUGAUACAAUGGUCGCUACAACAGGACGCGAAGAGGUAACUCGGAGCAAACCCUUAUAAAGCGGCCCUAGUUCGGAUUGAGGUCUGCAACUCGACCUCAUGAAGUCGGAAUCGCUAGUAAUCGUGGGUCAGCUAUACCACGGUGAAUACGUUCUCGAGCCUUGUACUCACCGCCCGUCAAGUCAAGGAAGCUGGGAGUACCCGACGUCCGUCAUUUUCGGCGGCCUACGGUAAAUUCAGUGACAGGGACUAAGUCGUAACAAGGUAGCC
rnacentral:rRNA from 1 species